rnacentral:rRNA from 1 species
CGCCUGUUUAUCAAAAACAUCGCCUCUUGCAAAACUAAUGAAUAAGAGGUCCUGCCUGCCCUGUGACCAUGAGUUCAACGGCCGCGGUAUUUUGACCGUGCAAAGGUAGCGCAAUCACUUGUCUUUUAAAUGGAGACCCGUAUGAAUGGCAAGACGAGGGCUUAGCUGUCUCCUUUUUCAAGUCAAUGAAAUUGAUCUUCCCGUGCAGAAGCGGGAAUUCCAACAUAAGACGAGAAGACCCUAUGGAGCUUCAGACACCAAGAUAGACCACGUCAAAGCCUCCUAAUUAAAGGACUGAACUAAGUGGACCCUGUCCUAAUGUCUUUGGUUGGGGCGACCACGGGGAAACACAAAACCCCCGCGUGGAAUGGGAGCACCUUACUCCUACAACUGAGAGCUUCCGCUCUAAUAAACAGAAUUUCUGACCAACAAGAUCCGGCAAUGCCGAUCAACGAACCGAGUUACCCUAGGGAUAACAGCGCAAUCCUCUUUUAGAGCCCAUAUCGACAAGAGGGUUUACGACCUCGAUGUUGGAUCAGGACAUCCUAAUGGUGCAGCCGCUAUUAAGGGUUCGUUUGUUCAACGAUUAAAGUCCUACGUGAUCUGAGUUCAGACCGG